rnacentral:rRNA from 1 species
AUGUGCUUACGAGAAAGAAGGGUUGCGUGGGUACCUUGGGACUGUGUGAUCAUGCCCACAUAUAAAGGAGGACUUGGAUUCAGAGAUACAGAAAUUUUCAACCUUGCUCUACUAGCUAGGCAGGUGUGAAGAAUCCUAAAUGAGCCGAUGACUCUAAGUGCAAAAGUGUUGAAGGUUGUUUACUUUCUGGAUAGUGAUAUUCUGUCGGAUGAAUUGGGAAAAAAAAAUCCUUUGCAAGUUUGGAGAGCUCUAUGUGAAGGUAGGACCACCUUAAAACUAGGUUUGAUUCAACUCAUUGGGGACGGGAGUUCAACGGAGAUUUGGGAGGACAAUUGGCUGCCACAAGAUUAUAGUUUAAGGCCUCCCUGCUCGCUAAAGGCUAACCCACCUGAAUUAAUGUGA